UUGCAGGUAUGUCGCCUCAUGGGAAGCUCAAAUGACACAGCUGAUGAGGAUUUCAAACUCACCAUGCAACCCAAGGAACAGAACACAAGACACCAGCACUGUGUGAUCUGAGACCAAGGUGAGUCUGGACAGCACCAGAGUGAUCAUGAUAAAGGUUUGGGAAUUAAAGUGCGCCUCCCAAACUCGUUCAUUUCCACAGUGGCAGAAACUGGUCUCUGAGCAGGUAUGAAGAUCACCCUGGCACCACAACGCAGAAAAACAUCUCAGGGUUCAGCACACCCUGGGGGCGAAUGUGGCAGCAACAAGGGAAACACACCUUCCCAGGUAUGAACGGGGACCAAAAGGACAUGUUCAGUAAAAUUGUUGCUGUUUUCCUUGUUUGGAGUCAAUCAGUAGUGAUAACACGCAUUCUUCUCAGGGGAACUUUUAAUUUUUCCAAACAGACUUCCCCAGGUUGCCUCGUGUAUUCCUGACUCACAGCUUAAACUCCCCAUCAGCUCCACUGCACCCUUUGCCAGCAAGCAAAUUUCCAGCAGCCUGGUUUGUUGCUGUUUGCUCUAAGAACAUAAACUUUUUAUUAAGGGAAAAAAAAAAAAAAGGAAGGAAAAAAACAUUUUUGUUGUUUAGCCACUUGAACGUGAACACUGAAAAUAUUAUUUGUAUGUGACAAAGGAAAUAUUUGCCUUAAAUUAUCUCAUCUUACUAAUUGGUUACAAUGGAGCGACUUGUAUGUAUGCAGUAAAAAAGCACCCAGUCCCUCUGCUUGAAUUAGGGCUUCACAAUUUUAGUAUAAACACUCCCAAGGGAGAAAACAAAGAAAAGUUGCCAGGCGUUUAGGGCUGCCUGUGCCAUGGAGUCAUCAUAGACUCCACAAGGACAUCACUUGGGUGUCUAAAAAGAAUAGGUCCUGAAAAAUUUAGAAGCUUCUGUAGAAGGUGAAACUUUAGAGAAUAUUAAGAGUUUUUAAAUGAUAUAAAAGUGAAAAAAAAAAAAAACACCUGGGAAAUAUUUUUUCAAGUCAUUACAUAAAAGAUAUAGCUAAUUCCUGUUGUUCAAUGUCAACAUCAUUGAGGGCAUGCUAAUGUGAAAAGUGCUAUUUAUCGAUGAAAAGUAAAAGUAUAAAUCCAGUCUGAAUUUAAAUCAGAAGAGGAAAAUGAUUAAUAUAAAGGAUUACAGUGCUACAGUGUAAUUCCCUUGAGAUGCAAAAACAUUUCAUGUUUAAAAGUGACUUGAAUAUAGUAAUCUUCAAAUAUUCAUGGCUGAAAAAGUUUCCUAAAUGCAGCCUCCAAAAUAGGUGUCACGAGACAGCGAUUAUGCCCCGAGCUCAUUUCAAAACCAUGGCAAGUAAUGUUUUUAAUAAACAUGGUGUGUUAUUGACAGAAAUGGAAGAGGGGGAAAAAAAUCCUCUGGGUCUGCAUGUCAAGAAUGGAGAAAAAGAGGGAGGAAAAGUUAAAGCUGGAAGAGUGGAAAAGCUGGCUGGGAGGAACAAGCCCGUUUGCUGCUCAGCGCCCUGCCCAUGCAGGCUGAGUGGUUGUGACCUGCUCCUCCACGACGUGGGCAGCUGUGCUCCCUGCUGCUGAAGGAGGUUGGGAACCUGCUUCGAUCUCUGUUCUUCUGCAGCCCCGUUCCUGACACUGUGCCAAGGUGGGAACGCCUCUGAGUUGAGGCUGUGGGACUGCACUCAUCCUGCCAAGUGCCUGGCUGGCUUGUCCCGUGGCAAGAGGGAAGUCUCCAUCGGGCCGAAGUGGCAUCUGUCAGGAUUCCCACUCUGGAAAAGAAGAUCAGAGCAAACGGGGACUGAGGAGAAUAAAAGCUGACCCAAACCUUUGACCCAAACUUAACAUAAAGCCAAAUGAAACCUUAGAGAAAUGCCUCAGACCAGCUGUGACUGAAAGGCACCCAGGCUGUUGCUUGCUCCUUGUUCCCAAAAUGUGCCAGGCAAUUUCCAGGUGGAAGAUAAUAGCUGAAGAGGCACAGGAGAGAGCAGGAGGGGAACUUGAGGAGAUGAAUAUCAGUGGAAUUAUUUCCCGAAUACAGGGAGAGGCUGCAUGACGAGAGGAGCAGAAGUUGUAAUGUCCAUUUCGCUUACACAACAAGACUCAAGCUUUUGAACUUCCUGCAAGGCUGGUUACACCAAAUUGAGAUUGAUGACAAAGCACAUUUUGAAGUUAUUAAAGGUAAGUGGAUUCCUAUGGUGUUGAACUUUCUAGGAUAUCAAGCUUCAGUAGGUGACGUUCUCUGGGACUUCUGACAUUUACUGACCACUUUUUCCAUCUAUACCCAAGAGGCUGACCCAUGACCAGUGCUCCAAACCACCAAGCCUCCCAUGGUGUUCUUCAUCCUGUCAACUCUCCGUGGUGACAUCCUGGCAGGAUGAAGCAGUCUAUGGGAGAAGCAGUCUACGGGAGUAGACCCCUGCUCACGGAGGAAUGUUCAACCAGAGCAUUGCCACCAGGACAAAUCUGCUGAGGACUACCAAGAGACACGUGGAAAAUCAAGUGUAAAUGGCCAGUGAUGCAAGGGAGACAGGCACCCUGUUAAUAAACCAGUCUGCAGGUGCUUGUCCCAAAUAGCCAAAAAAAUCAUCAUCCUUUUGCAAAUACCACAAAAGUGACUUUUGUCCUUUAAAUCUGGUUUAUAACCCUUUGAGAUGUCACUGAGACUAUAGUCAAGAUCUCUAACGGGACAAAAUUAUUAGCAAAUAUAAAUUUAAUUCAGGGACUUGGGAAUUAAAAAUGAAAUGGAAAAAACAACAUUGACAGGCAAACAAGAAGAAAUAUACUGGAAUUAGCAGAGUCCUCUUCACAUAUGCACAUGUUCUGUCUAUCUUACUUGCAGGCAAUCACCCUUGGUCAAAAUGCUGCAGAUGCUAAAAAAAAAAAAAAAAAAAAAAAAAAAAAAGAUAUUCCUCAUUUUGUAACUUUUAGCAAUGUUUAUUUUAGGUUAGCAAAAUCGUCUUCUGUCUUAAGAUGUUUAAUGAUUAUUUGAAAGCAACUUGAUGAAUAGAAAAGAGUGUACUCCCACUUGGGGCAAAUGUAUUUUUGGCCUGAUUCAUAAUAAUUAAUCUCUGUCUAAGUGGAAUGCAUUAAUUUCUCCUACUGGUAGGGGCUUUACUUCUGUUUCUUUUCCUAGGCUGGAUGGUUCUGCUCCAGAGGCACAUUUCCUGAUUAAAGUGGACCGCGACCGGGUACUCAGGUUAUGUCACUAUUAUCUAAACGAUCUUUUAAAGAACACAGAGUACUUGUUCUUGCAGAUAUCUUGCGCUCCGCAUUUAAUCACGGACCUUUGUAGCUUGUUAUUUCGAGAAUUCAGAUUACUGCAAAUUAAAAGUCUCUCCGUC